CCGCGCUAAAUGGGGAAUUAGCGGUUCCCUGUAACUUGCAGCUAUAGCAGGAUUGAAGCUUGAACGAGGAUGCUGAGCAGGUAACUGCUUGGUUGGAAAAGUAGCGUUGAAGGUUAGGUCCUUCGCGAUAAAGAUUAUCGAAUCUGGUCAGGUCCGGAAGGAAGCAGCCAUAAGAUAAGCCCUUUAUGCGCCGGGGGAAAACCUAACCGGAGCCAACUGUUCAAUUGACGUUACAUGCAGGUAUUCAAAUUUAAGUGCGCGG
rnacentral:SRP_RNA from 1 species